rnacentral:tRNA from 1 species
GCCCAGAUAGCUCAGUCGGUAGAGCAAAGGACUGAAAAUCCUUGUGUCGGCAGUUCAAUUCUGCCUCUGGGCACCA